rnacentral:rRNA from 1 species
GACGAACGCUGGCGGCGUGCUUAACACAUGCAAGUCGAACGGAAAGGCCCUGCUUUUGUGGGGUGCUCGAGUGGCGAACGGGUGAGUAACACGUGAGUAACCUGCCCUUGACUUUGGGAUAACUUCAGGAAACUGGGGCUAAUACCGGAUAGGAGCUCCUGCUGCAUGGUGGGGGUUGGAAAGAUUCGGCGGUUGGGGAUGGACUCGCGGCUUAUCCGCUUGUUGGUGGGGUAGUGGCUUACCAAGGCUUUGACGGGUAGCCGGCCUGGGAGGGUGACCGGCCACAUUGGGACUGAGAUACGGCCCAGACUCCUACGGGAGGCAGCAGUGGGGAAUAUUGCACAAUGGGCGGAAGCCUGAUGCAGCAACGCCGCGUGCGGGAUGACGGCCUUCGGGUUGUAAACCGCUUUCGCCUGUGACGAAGCGUGAGUGACGGUAAUGGGUAAAGAAGCACCGGCUAACUACGUG